CCUACGGGUGGCAGCAGUGAGGAAUAUUGGUCAAUGGACGAGAGUCUGAACCAGCCAAGUAGCGUGAAGGAUGACUGCCCUCUGGGUUGUAAACUUCUUUUAUAUGGGAAUAAAAUGUUCCACGUGUGGGUUUUUGUAUGUACCAUAUGAAUAAGGAUCGGCUAACUCCGUGCCAGCAGCCGCGGUAAUACGGAGGAUCCGAGCGUUAUCCGGAUUUAUUGGGUUUAAAGGGAGCGUAGGUGGAUUGUUAAGUCAGUUGUGAAAGUUUGCGGCUCAACCGUAAAAUUGCAGUUGAAACUGGCAGUCUUGAGUACAGUAGAGGUAGGCGGAAUUCGUGGUGUAGCGGUGAAAUGCUUAGAUAUCACGAAGAACUCCGAUUGCGAAGGCAGCUCACUGGUCUGCAACUGACACUGAGGCUCGAAAGUGUGGGUAUCAAACAGGAUUAGAUACCCCUGUAGUC
rnacentral:rRNA from 1 species